CAACGCUGCUGGCGACGCCGGGGCCGCCGUCGGUGCCGUGGAAGAUGUGGCGCGGGCACUGCCGGACGCCGAGGAGAACAUCAACCUGGACCUGCCCAGCAGUCUGGAGGUGUCGAACGUGUGGAGCGACUACAUGCUGGAGCCGGCCGGGCCGAGCCUGGCCUGGCAGCAGCUGGAGCAGACAGCGCUGUCGCUCUCCGUGCCUGCUCACUUGGACCACUUCACCAAGAUACUGAGGUCCGACUGGGAGCUGGACGAGCCGGCGGCGUCCGGCCCCUCCGCCGUCGCACCUCU